rnacentral:lncRNA from 1 species
CCCCUAAUUACUAAACCCACUUCUUCCCCUCUCUCUUCAUCUUUUCUAAAAAGAUUACCCCCUUAAUAACCACACACAAUUUGGGGCUGCAGGGGAUCAGGUGCUGAUCUCCGGUCAACUAAAUGGCGACUUCCGGUGGCCGCCGAAUGGGUUUGCUUUGGCCCCAUUUGGUCGUGGCUGUAGCCUUGGCUAUCUUUGCAUCCAAUGUGGGUUCUGUGGCUGGUGAUGCUGCCUACGUUUACUCCUCUCCUCCUCCUCCGUAUGAGUACAAAUCGCCGCCACCUCCUUCCCCGUCACCUCCUCCUCCUUACGUUUACAAGUCGCCGCCACCACCUUCACCGUCCCCUCCGCCACCUUACGNNNNNNNNNNNNNNNNNNNCCCCGCACCCUGAGUAUGACAACUCUCCUCCCCCCCCAUCCCCGUCACCUCCCCCACCUUACGAGUACAAGUCUCCUCCUCCUCCUUCACCGUCACCACCGCCACCUUACGAGUACAAGUCUCCCCCUCCUCCUUCACCGUCACCACCGCCACCAUACGAGUAUAAGUCUCCCCCUCCUCCUUCACCGUCACCUCCGCCACCUUACGAAUACAAAUCUCCACCACCUCCAUCGCCGUCACCACCGCCACCAUACUACUACAAGUCGCCGCCGCCGCCUUCACCCUCUCCUCCUCCACCAUACUACUACAAAUCUCCACCACCUCCGUCUCCAUCGCCACCACCACCAUACCACUACUCUUCUCCACCACCACCUAAAAAAUCACCUCCACCACCGUAUUAUUACAAAUCUCCACCACCACCUUCGCCAUCUCCACCGCCACCUUAUCACUACUCUUCUCCACCGCCACCAAAGAAAUCACCUCCUCCGCCAUACUACUACAAAUCUCCACCACCACCUUCACCAUCUCCUCCACCACCUUACCACUACUCCUCUCCACCACCACCUAAGAAAUCACCUCCACCACCAUACUACUACAAGUCUCCACCACCACCUUCACCCUCUCCUCCACCACCGUACUACUAUAAGUCUCCGCCGCCACCAUCACCCUCUCCUCCGCCACCAUACUACUAUAAAUCCCCGCCGCCACCAUCCCCAUCUCCUCCACCACCGUACUACUACAAGUCCCCACCACCACCUUCACCGUCUCCACCACCACCAUACUACUACAAAUCUCCACCGCCGCCAUCACCAUCACCUCCCCCACCAUACUACUACAAAUCCCCACCACCACCCGCAAAAUCUCCCCCACCACCACCGUACUACUACAAGUCUCCGCCACCACCCAAGGCUUACCCUCCUCCUUACCACUACACAUCACCGCCGCCGCCGGCAGUCUAUCCCCAUGAGCUGACUAUCAAGGUUGUCGGAAAAGUGUAUUGCUAUAGAUGUUAUGACUGGGCUUACCCAACGAAGUCACACGACAAGAAGCACCUUAAAGGUAUAAUAAUUAUUUAAUAACUUCCCAUUAGAUGAAAUAUAGUUAUUUGUAAUGCAUGAUAAAUUUAUCAUAUGUAUAUGGCGCUAUACAAAUGCUAAUUCCCACUGAGAAUCAACAUAAAAAUCCUCACCAGAUUUCUGCAUGUUUUUGGCAUAUAUGUUCUGGUGGACUUAGUAUUAUUUUGUAUAAUUAAAAACGAAUUAAAACAGCUCUUUGAUUGUCCCAUUUGCCAAAGUAUUAAAGCCCACCAAGUCAGAGUCAUAUUUGGCAAUUGGCAUCUCUGUUUUCCCCCUUUUUUUUACUUAUUUAAAAAUACUGAAAUACCUACUCAGUGGAAAAUAAUAUGGAAAUGAUUAUUUUAAGGUUGUCACGUAGUAACGUGCUUGACCACUGACAAAUAAGACUAAACAAAUAUAAUUAGUUGAGGAAAUUGUGAUGCUGACGUGUGAUGUUGAUUGUCUCUAACGACUUUUCUCUCCGACAGGAGCCGUGGUGGAAGUAACUUGCAAGGCAGGGGAAAAGGAAAUCAAGGCGUACGGGAAGACCAAAAUCAACGGCAAAUAUAGCAUCACCGUCGACGGAUUCGAGUACGGCAAAUAUGGAGCCAAGGCUUGCACAGCUAAGCUUCACGCUCCGCACAAGGGUUCCAAGUGUAGCAUCCCGACCAAGCUUCACGGCGGAAACAAGGGUGCCGAGCUGAAAGUGAAGUCCAAGGAUUACCACUUGAUUGUGUUGCAGGCUAAGUCCUUUGCUUAUGCUCCUAAGAAGCCUUACGCAGAGUGUGACAAGCCUAAGCCAAAACCCACACCUCCUCCUUACUAUUAUAAGUCUCCACCACCACCAUCACCUAAACCAUACUACUACAAAUCCCCGCCUCCUCCUCCUCCAACUUACGUGUACAAGUCCCCGCCACCACCGGCUUACGUGUACAAGUCACCACCACCACCGGCUUACAUAUACAAGUCGCCGCCACCUCCUUCACCUAAGCCAUACUACUACAAGUCACCACCUCCUCCGACUUACGUCUACAAGUCUCCACCACCACCUGCUUACGUGUACAAG